GAUGAACGCUGGCGGCGUGCCUAAUACAUGCAAGUCGAGCGAACAGACGAGGCGCUUGCUCCUCUGACGUUAGCGGCGGACGUGUGAGUAACACGUGGAUCACCUACCUAUAAGACUGGGAUAACUUCGGGAAACCGGAGCUAAUACCGGAUAAUAUAUUGAACCGCAUGGUUCAAUAGUGAAAGACGGUUUUGCUGUCACUUAUAGAUGGAUCCGCGCGGCUUUAGCUAGUUGGUAAGUUAACGGCUUACCAAGGCAACGAUGCGUAGCCGACCUGAGAGGGUGAUCGGCCACACUGGAACGUGGACACGGUCCAUACUCCUACGGGAGGCAGCAGUAGGGAAUCGUCCGCAAUAGGCGAAAGCCUGACGGAGCAACGCCACGUGAGUGAUGAAGGUCUUCGGAUCGUAAAACUCUGUUAUUAGGUAAGAACAAAUGUGUAAGUAACUAUACACGUCUUGACGGUACCGAAUCAGAAAGCCACGGCUAACUACGUG
rnacentral:rRNA from 1 species